UACGACAGGGGCUAGCGUUGUUCGGAAUUGCUGGGCGUAAAGCGCACGUAGGCGGACUUGGAAGUUGGGGGUGAAAUCCCGGGGCUCAACCCCGGAAUUGACUUCAAGACUGCAAGUCUGGAGGUCAGGAGAGGCGAGCGGAAUUCCGAGUGUAGAGGUGAAAUUCGUAGAGAGUCGGAGGAACACCAGGUGCGAAGGCGGCUCGUUGGAUUGAUACUGACGCUGAGGUGCGAAAGCGUGGGGAGCAAACAGG
rnacentral:rRNA from 1 species